CAAGUCGAGCGGAGACAGUGAGUAGCUUGCUAUGAGCUGUUUUAGCGGCGGACGGGUGAGUAACGCGUGAGCAACCUUUCCCAGACAGGGGAAUAACACACCGAAAGGUGUACUAAUACCGCAUAAGACCACGGGAUCACAUGGUUCUGAGGUAAAAGAUUUAUCGGUUUGGGGUGGGCUCGCGUCCGAUUAGGUAGUUGGUGAGGUAACGGCCCACCAAGCCGACGAUCGGUAGCCGACCUGAGAGGGUGAUCGGCCACAUUGGGACUGAGACACGGCCCAAACUCCUACGGGAGGCAGCAGUGGGGAAUAUUGGGCAAUGGAGGAAACUCUGACCCAGCAACGCCGCGUGGAGGAAGAAGGUUUUCGGAUCGUAAACUCCUGUCCUUGGAGACGAGUAGAAGACGGUAUCCAAGGAGGAAGCCCCGGCUAACUACGUGCCAGCAGCCGCGGUAAUACGUAGGGGGCAAGCGUUGUCCGGAAUAAUUGGGCGUAAAGGGCGCGUAGGCGGCUCGGUAAGUCUGGAGUGAAAGUCCUGCUUUUAAGGUGGGAAUUGCUUUGGAUACUGUCGGGCUUGAGUGCAGGAGAGGUUAGUGGAAUUCCCAGUGUAGCGGUGAAAUGCGUAGAGAUUGGGAGGAACACCAGUGGCGAAGGCGACUAACUGGACUGUAACUGACGCUGAGGCGCGAAAGUGUGGGGAGCAAACAGGAUUAGAUACCCUGGUAGUCCACACUGUAAACGAUGAAUGCUAGGUGUAGGGGGUAUCGACCCCUUCUGUGCCGCAGUCAACACAAUAAGCAUUCCGCCUGGGGAAUACGGCCGCAAGGUUGAA
rnacentral:rRNA from 1 species